GCCACUGCUAUUGGGAUCCGACUAAGCCAUGCGAGUCGAGAGGGUUCGGCCCUCGGCAGACUGCUCAGUAACACGUGGAUAAUCUACCCUUAGGUGGAGGAUACUCUCGGGAAACUGAGAAUAAUACUCCAUAGAUCCAGGAUGCUGGAAUGCACCUAGAUUGAAAGUUCCGGCGCCUAAGGAUGAGUCUGCGGACUAUCAGGUAGUAGUCAGGGUAAAGACCUGACUAGCCUACGACGGAUACGGGUUGUGAGAGCAAUAGCCCGGAGACGAUAUCUGAGACACGAUAUCGGGCCCUACGGGGCGCAGCAGGCGCGAAAUCUUCACAAUGUGCGAAAGCACGAUGAGGGGAUCCCAAGUGUUGGUUCGUAAGAAUCAUCUGUUUCUUUGUCUAAAAAACAGAGAGAGCAAGAGCUGGGUAAGACGGGUGCCAGCCGCCGCGGUAAUACCUGCAGCUCAAGUGGUGGCCGCUAUUAUUGGGCCUAAAACGUCCGUAGCCGGUUUAGUAAAUGCUUGGGUAAAUUGUGUAGCUUAACUAUACGAAUACCGAGUAGACUGCUGAACUUGGGACCGGGAGAGGCUAGAGGUACUCCUAGGGUAGAGGUGAAAUUCUGUAAUCCUAGGGGGACCACCAGUGGCGAAGGCGUCUAGCUAGAACGGGUCUGACGGUGAGGGACGAAGCCCUGGGGCGCAAACCGGAUUAGAUACCCGGGUAGUCCAGGGUGUAAACGCUGCUCGCUUGAUGUUAGUUGGGCUCCGAGCUCAACUAGUGUCGGAGAGAAGUUGUUAAGCGAGCUGCCUGGGAAGUACGGUCGCAAGGCUGAAACUUAAAGGAAUUGGCGGGGGAGCACAGCAACGGGUGGAGCGUGCGGUUUAAUUGGAUUCAACGCCGGA
rnacentral:rRNA from 1 species